GACAAAUUGAAAUGAAGUCUAGAAGUAUGGAAGAAAUACAACAACAACAUGCUUACAGGGCAGAGCAUCCAGAGGCAGGAGGCACUGACCCUUCUUGAUUGAUAACAGUUGAUCUUCCUGAAGUUUUCAGCAGCCAAUCACCCUGGAAUACUAGAAAUGGAAGUAGAAACUCGAGAAACACCAGAAUGCCGUAACCUCAGCCCCUGAAUAACUCCAUGAAAAAAAUUCAAAGAAUGGCCUAAAGAACUAACUGUUGAAACUAAUAUUCUUUCACUGAGAUCUUCUUCUUAGGUGCUGUGACACAGCGUACCCCUCAAAGAAAUCUAAGACAGCAUUCUCUAGGUCCUCCACAGUAUACUUGAUA
rnacentral:misc_RNA from 1 species